rnacentral:rRNA from 1 species
GAUGAACGCUGGCGGCGUGCUUAACACAUGCAAGUCGAACGGAAAGGCCCUGCUCUUGUGGGGUGCUCGAGUGGCGAACGGGUGAGUAACACGUGAGUAACCUGCCCUUGACUUUGGGGUAACUUCAGGAAACUGGGGCUAAUAUCGGAUAGGAGCUCCUGCUGCAUGGUGGGGGUUGGAAAGAUUCGGCGGUUGGGGAUGGACUCGCGGCUUAUCAGCUUGUUGGUGUGGUAGUGGCUUACCAGGGGUUUGACGGGUAGCCGGCCUGAGAGGGUGACCGGCCACAUGGGGACUGAGAGAGGGACCAGAAGCGUACGGGAGGCAGCGGGGGGGAAUAUGGCGCAAUGGGCGGAAGCCUGAGGCAGCAACGCCGGGUGCGGGAUGAUGGCCUUCGGGGUGUAAACCGCUUUGGCCUGAGACAAAGCGUGAGUGACGGUAAUGGGUAAAGAAGCACCGGCUAACUACGUG